rnacentral:rRNA from 1 species
UACGUAGGGUGCAAGCGUUGUCCGGAAUUAUUGGGCGUAAAGAGCUCGUAGGCGGUUUGUCGCGUCUGCUGUGAAAACUGGAGGCUCAACCUCCAGCCUGCAGUGGGUACGGGCAGACUAGAGUGCGGUAGGGGAGAUUGGAAUUCCUGGUGUAGCGGUGAAAUGCGCAGAUAUCAGGAGGAACACCGGUGGCGAAGGCGGGUCUCUGGGCCGAUACUGACACUGAGGAGCGAAAGCGUGGGGAGCGAACAGG